CCUACGGGAGGCAGCAGUAGGGAAUCUUCCACAAUGGGCGAAAGCCUGAUGGAGCAACGCCGCGUGAGUGAUGAAGGCCUUCGGGUUGUAAAACUCUGUCAUUCGGGACGAACCGGAGUCUGAGGAAAUGCAGACUCUCUGACGGUACCGGAGGAGGAAGCCCCGGCUAACUACGUGCCAGCAGCCGCGGUAAUACGUAGGGGGCAAGCGUUGUCCGGAUUCACUGGGCGUAAAGCGCGCGCAGGCGGUGAUGUAAGUCUGAGGUGAAAACCCGAAGCUCAACUUCGGGACUGCCUUGGAUACUGCGUCACUUGAGGAUAGGAGAGGCAAGGGGAAUUCCACGUGUAGCGGUGAAAUGCGUAGAGAUGUGGAGGAACACCUGUGGCGAAGGCGCCUUGCUGGCCUAUUUCUGACGCUGAGGCGCGAAAGCGUGGGGAGCAAACAGGAUUAGAUACCCUGGUAGUCCACGCUGUAAACGAUGAGUGCUAGGUGUAGGUGGGCUCAUACCCAUCUGUGCCGAAGCUAACGCAUUAAGCACNCCGCCGCGGGAGGUACGGUCGCGACGACGUAGAACGUACGAAGGAAGUAGACGGCGUUGAGACGNGCCGACGGACGACGACGAGGGAGGUUAGGG
rnacentral:rRNA from 1 species